GCCGGGAGAAAGAAAAGGGGAGGAGGAUUUCUCCCUAGAAACAACAGAAUCGACGUCUAGAGCAAACUCGGCGCCCAUGUUCCACCACCUUCAGACGAGGCGACUUCCGUGCCCUUCGGGUUGCGCGAAAUGGGAUCCAUUUCGCGAUUUCCUGCGAACACGAUCCACGGAGCAGAGCAAGGAGGAGAAGGGAGAGGAAGAGGCUGGAGGAGGAGGAUCGAGCGUAUGGAACACAAUGGCGCGGAUCGUGGCUGCCGCUUAUGCCCCUCGGUUAUGGCGAACGCAGGAUUGUUAGAAACCGUCGUCGGCCGCUAGGUGCAGCCUAGAGAAGGUUCAGCUGGAACCGGGCCAGCGGCAAUUCCGGAUGGAAAUCUCAUUCCGAGGCGGAUAUCUUCGUUGCGUCGAGAUUGUAUCGACCACGGUAGACAAGGACUAAGGUCGCGUCCGACUGUACAGAUAUCGUUUCAUACAGGGUGUCCAAGAAGGAAUAAUUCUACUUUAAUUUCACGUUUGAAAGAUCGA